UUCUGUAAAGAAUCCAACAAAUGAUGGAAAGUGCAUCAUCUCUACUUUUUUUUGAAAGCUGCAAACAUAAUCCUUUUAGGUAUCAAUAGCAACAUAAUUCAUUUUUAUGAACCACCAACCACGGUUUUCUUCAGGAAACGUAUAACCCCUAUCACGAAGAAACAUAGCGCAUCUUGCUCUAUACUUCGAUUUCACUGUUCUGUUUUGUCGCGUUAUUUAAUUCGGACUUUCUUCAUAUUAAAGUAAGGAGGAAGAAGAUUAUUUCUUGGAAUAUAAGACCUGCGAGCUCGAGAAGUAGACGUUGGACAUUAGAUAGAGUUCAAGGUAUGUGAGGCUAGUCCUUUCUUUCUAUGGCAUGAAUCUUAUAGCUUGACUCUCUUUUUAUCCAUGAGUUUCCUUAAGUUCUGAAAAAUAUGAGUCUAUGUCCAUAAUUAGCCACACAAGGUAAUGAGUAAAGUAUAGAAAUCCCAAAACUCAUGUUGUGAUGAUCCUAUGAUAUUAAUGAUGCUAUUUAUUGCUUACACUCACCUUAUAUGCUAAUUCCUUCAAGGUGAAACAGGAUGUCAAUGAAUGUUCCAUAAUGACGUCGGAAGCCACCGAACUUACGUCGCUCCGAUAUAGCUAUGGCUUUUGAUUGGGCUCUUAUGCAUGCUUUAUAUAUAUAUAUAUGUAUGUAUUUUCUCACACCGCGCCGCGCUAUAGUCGGCCGGGCAGGCACGUAGAUGUGCACACCACUAUAGUGGGCAGCUUAUACCCCGGACGCGGGAGACCUGGACGCAGGCUAUGAUUAUUACACCGCUCCUACAUGGACGGGCAGCUUAUACAUUAUCACAUCGUACCUAUAUGGACGGGCAACUUAUAUAUGUAUAGAUACAUGACAUGAUAAUGAUUAUGAGUAAGUCAGCAUGCAUUAUUUCAGUUAUACUUGAUAGCCAGUACAUAUUGCUCUUUCUUGAUGCCUCCUUAUCUCAUUGAUACCUUCAUAUUUCAUUGAUAUAUUGUUAUUGUUUAUGCCUCUCAUACUCAGUACAAUAUUCGUACUUACGUCCGUUUUCUUCGGACGCUGUGUUCAUGCCCACAGGUAGACAGGGAGGUGAGCUUGAUCCAGAUUCUUAGUAGCUGUCAGCUGAUUGAGAGCACUCCAUUGUUCGGAGGUGCUUAUGUUUAUUCUUUUGGUUCCUUUAUGUAUUUCGCACACGACGGAGUCCUGUUCCGUCUAUAUGUAUAAUAUGUCAGUAGAGGCUCGUAGACGCGCAGUGUGGGUUAGAUGGUCUCACAAGAUGUUAUAUUUGUAUAUGUUAUUUUGAUGGCCGAGAGGCAAAUGUAUAUAAGUAUUUAUGUUUCUAUAUAAAAUAUGAUUUUCCUACAA